rnacentral:rRNA from 1 species
AGUGAACGCUGGUGGUAGGCCUAACACAUGCAAGUCGAACGGCAGCACAGGAGAGCUUGCUCUCUAGGUGGCGAGUGGCGGACGGGUGAGGAAUACAUCGGAAUCUGCCCAGUCGUGGGGGAUAACGUAGGGAAACUUACGCUAAUACCGCAUACGACCUUCGGGUGAAAGAGGGGGAUCGCAAGACCUCUCGCGAUUGGAUGAGCCGAUGUCGGAUUAGCUAGUUAGCGGGGUAAUGGCCACCAAGGCGACGAUCCGUAGCUGGUCUGAGAGGAUGAUCAGCCACACUGGAACUGAGACACGGUCCAGACUCCUACGGGAGGCAGCAGUGGGGAAUAUUGGACAAUGGGCGCAAGCCUGAUCCAGCCAUGCCGCGUGGGUGAAGAAGGCCUUCGGGUUGUAAAGCCCUUUUGUUGGGAAAGAAAUCUUUCAGGCUAAUACCCUGGGAGGAUGACGGUACCCAAAGAAUAAGCACCGGCUAACUUCGUG